rnacentral:rRNA from 1 species
GACGAACGCUGGCGGCGUGCUUAACACAUGCAAGUCGAACGGUGAAGCGCCUUCCUUUUUGGUGGGUGUGGAUGAGUGGCGAACGGGUGAGUAACACGUGAGUAACCUGCCCCCUUCUUCUGGAUAACCGCAUGAAAGUGUGGCUAAUACGGGAUAUUCUGGGUCUGUCGCAUGAUGGGUCUGGGAAAGAUAUUGUUUCGGUGGGGGAUGGGCUCGCGGCCUAUCAGCUUGUUGGUGGGGUGAUGGCCUACCAGGGCGGUGACGGGUAGCCGGCCUGAGAGGGUGGACGGUCACACUGGGACUGAGGCACGGCCCAGACUCCUACGGGAGGCAGCAGUGGGGAAUAUUGCACAAUGGGCGCAAGCCUGAUGCAGCGACGCCGCGUGAGGGAUGGAGGCCUUCGGGUUGUGAACCUCUUUCGCCAGUGAAGCAGGCCUGCCUCGUUUGUGGGUGGGUUGACGGUAGCUGGAUAAGAAGCGCCGGCUAACUACGUG